rnacentral:rRNA from 1 species
UACAGAGACUGCAAGCGUUGUUCGGAUUCAUUGGGCGUAAAGGGUGCGCAGGCGGCUCGUUAAGUCGGAUGUGAAAUCUCACAGCCUAACUGUGAUAGGUCAUUCGAAACUGGCGGGCUUGAGGGCUGGAGAGGAGACUGGAAUAGUCGGUGUAGCGGUGAAAUGCGUAGAGAUCGACUAGAACACCGGUGGCGAAGGCGGGUCUCUGGACAGUUCCUGACGCUCAUGCACGAAAGCCAGGGGAGCAAACGGG